rnacentral:rRNA from 1 species
CCUACGGGAGGCAGCAGUGGGGAAUAUUGCACAAUGGGGGAAACCCUGAUGCAGCGACGCCGCGUGAGUGAAGAAGUAUUUCGGUAUGUAAAGCUCUAUCAGUAGGGAAGAAAAUGAAGGUACCUGAGUAAGAAGCCCCGGAUAACUACGUGCAAGCAGCGGCGGUAAUACGUAGGGGGCAAGCGUUAUCCGGAUUUACUGGGUUUAAAGGGAGCGUAGACGGCUUCACAAGUCUGGAGUGAAAUGCCGGGGCUUAACCCCGGAACUGCUUUGGAUACUGUGAAGCUAGAGUACAGGAGAGGUAAGUGGAAUUCGUAGUGUAGCGGUGAAAUGCGUAGAUAUUAGGAGGAACACCAGUGGCGAAGGCGGCUUACUGGACUGUAACUGACGUUGAGGCUCGAAAGUGUGGGGAGCAAACAGGAUUAGAUACCCUGGUAGUC